rnacentral:rRNA from 1 species
GACGUAGGGGGCGAGCGUUGUCCGGAUUUACUGGGCGUAAAGAGCGCGUAGGCGGUCUGUUAAGUCAGAAGUGAAAUCUCCAGGGCUCAACCCGGAAACUGCUUUUGAUACUGGCAGACUGGAGUGUCGGAGAGGUAAUUGGAAUUCCCGGUGUAGCGGUGACAUGCAUUGAUAUCGGGAGGAACACCCAUGGCGAAGGCAGAUUACUGGCCGACAACUGACGCUGAGGCGCGAAAGCGUGGGUAGCAAACAGA